CCCUGACUCCCCCGCCCCUUGAGUCACUGCGGGGAGGCAAGUGGGGACCCCGGCGCAGGGCCCGGGGAGGCAGUUUCACUGAGGGAGGUUUGCUGGGGGCACUUGGCCUGGUUUACACUUAGAGGUUUCUGCAGGAGACUAGUUCCGGUAUGGCUGACUCCCCCCCCCCCCCGGUAUUAUUAUACCUGUCCAAGCCCUAGUGUGGAGCGUGAGAAAAGUAGUUGGUUUGACUUGAGGGUAGGUGUCAGAGAGGGCUGCUUGCUACCACCAACCCUCUUCAGCUAUUCUCUUGAAAAAAUCUUAAAAAGAGGAGAAUGUGUACCCGUGGCUCGAUGAAAAAUUAGUCAUCUGUGUUUCCCUGAUGGUCCUGAUUGUAUCAUUGCAAGAGGAGGUGCAAAAGUUACUAGACAGAAUGGCAUUGGAAGCAGAGAAGAGCUAAAGAUUUCACAUGAAAAGACAGUGGUGACAGUCAGAUGUGUUGAAAAGGCAGAGAUAGUUUUAUCCAAAUCUGAGGAGGCACUGGAGUGCAUUCAGCACUUCAAACUUGGGUCGGAUGACUACAGGGGACACUAACCGUCACUUAGGGAUCCAACAUAGAAUUGGACUAACAACUGCUACUCUAGAAAAACUCAGCCACAGCUGGAGAAACAAAGGUAUUACCAUGAAGUGUUAAAUAAAAUUGCUGCAGUAUCUUGCUAUAUGGAUGUGAGACAUGGAUGCUGAGGAAACAGAACCUUAAGAGGGUUUCUGCCUUCUAACUGAAAUGCUACAGGCAAUUGCAGUAUGUUAGUUAUAUUGCACAUAUGACUAACGAGGAAGCAAUUGCCUAGAUUUACACGAAUGAUAUCUGAUAUCAAGACAAUCAGAUAAAGAAAACUUGAGUUUGCAGGACACAUGGGUGAGAUGAAGAGGAAGAUUGCCAAAGAGAGUGUUGCAGGAACUGAUGGUGGGGCAGAUGUGAUUCCACUAUGUGGGUGGCUGGAUGGGAUGUGAUAUGGCACACUUCUCAAAGCUGUGUAAAGACUGAAACGUGGAGGAAGAUUGCAGGCCAAGGACUCUGAAAAGGCUUAAACUGGUGUACCAAAGGAACAGAAGAGAGGAGUGCAGACAGAAAAGUAAAUAAGAUGGUAUGAAUACAGCAUUUUAAGCAGCAGAAUAAUGAAGGAUGAAUACUGAACAAUGACUAAAAACACUACAAUGAAUUUCUGGAUGAAUAAUCUUCAAUUCUAAAACACAAUGUUCAGAGUUUGUGAACAUUUUCAUGAUUAGAAGGACAGUCCUUCAAAUACGUGUAAACAAGAAAUAGUCCAUCUCUACAGAUAACAGCAGAGCGCACAUGCUACAUUUAUUCACAGAAAUAUUUAACCAGCUCUAAGACUUCAAC